rnacentral:rRNA from 1 species
ACGCCGCGUGAAGGAUGAAGGUUUUCGGAUUGUAAACUUCUUUGAUUGGGGACGAAAAAAAUGACGGUACCCAAAAAACAAGCCACGGCUAACUACGUGCCAGCAGCCGCGGUAAUACGUAGGUGGCAAGCGUUAUCCGGAAUUACUGGGUGUAAAGGGCGUGUAGACGGGGAUGUAAGUCAGAUGUGAAAUUCUUGAGCUCAACUCAAGCGCUGCAUCUGAAACUACAACUCUUGAGUGAUGGAGAGGAAAGCGGAAUUCCUAGUGUAGCGGUGAAAUGCGUAGAUAUUAGGAGGAACACCAGUGGCGAAGGCGGCUUUCUGGACAUUAACUGACGUUCAGGCGCGAAAGCGUGGGGAGCAAACAGGAUUAGAUACCCUGGAAGUCCACGCCGUAAACGAUGGAUACUAGGUGUAGGAGGUAUCGACCCCUUCUGUGCCGGAGUUAACACAAUAAGUAUCCCACCUGGGGAGUACGGCCGCAAGGUUGAAACUCAAAGGAUUUGACGG